rnacentral:rRNA from 1 species
CUCUUCGGAGAUAGUGGCAGACGGGUGAGUAACGCGUGGGAACCUACCUUAUUCUACGGAAUAACAGUUAGAAAUGACUGCUAAUACCGUAUACGCCCUUCGGGGGAAAGAUUUAUCGGAGUAGGAUGGGCCCGCGUUGGAUUAGCUAGUUGGUGGGGUAAUGGCCUACCAAGGCGACGAUCUAUAGCUGGUCUGAGAGGAUGAUCAGCCACACUGGAACUGAGACACGGUCCAGACUCCUACGGGAGGCAGCAGUGGGGAAUAUUGGACAAUGGGCGCAAGCCUGAUCCAGCCAUGCCGCGUGAGUGAUGAAGGCCUUAGGGUUGUAAAGCUCUUUCAACGGUGAAGAUAAUGACGGUAACCGUAGAAGAAGCCCCGGCUAACUUCGUGCCAGCAGCCGCGGUAAUACGAAGGGGGCUAGCGUUGUUCGGAAUUACUGGGCGUAAAGCGUACGUAGGCGGAUUAGAAAGUUAGGGGUGAAAUCCCAGGGCUCAACCCUGGAACUGCCUCUAAAACUCCUAAUCUUGAGUUCGAGAGAGGUGAGUGGAAUUCCGAGUGUAGAGGUGAAAUUCGUAGAUAUUCGGAGGAACACCAGUGGCGAAGGCGGCU